rnacentral:lncRNA from 1 species
CCCACCCAUACCCCAAUAGCCCUCACUGCAGAGAGACCCCAAAUACUACCCAUAGCCCCCUAUUCUGAUAUAUCCUACCCAUACCUCCAUCCAAUAUGCCCCACCCAUAAUCCAUUCACCCUCACUGCAGAGACAGCUCAUUACAUCCCAAUACCACUCAUAGCCCCUCACCCUGAUACACCCUACCCAUACCCCAAUAACCUCCACUGUAGAGAUCCCAUUACACCCAUUCACACCCCCAAUAACCCCACUGCAUAGAGACCCCGAUUACACCUGAUACUCAGAUGGCCUCCCCCAAUAGCCCCCACCCAUACCCCAAUCUCCACUGCAUAUAGACUCCCAGAGGUCCCACUCCAAUAUGCUCCACCCAUAUCGCCAUAACUCCUACUGCUUAGAGACCCUCGUAGUCCCUACCCUGAUACACCCUAUCCAUACCUCCAAUAACCCCACUAUGCAGAGACCCUCCAGUAUACCCAAUACCGCUCGUAGAUUCCACCCUGAUAUGCCCCCUUUACCCCCUUCAAUAAACCCCCUUCUUAGAGAACCCCAACCCAAUAUGCCACUCCCAGUAGCCCAUAGUGCUCUGGGGCAGUGGCUCACUGGGGUGGGGGAUGGGAGGAGUGUGGAGAGAUGCCUACCCCACAUAGUCCCUACUGCAGAGACACCCAUUACACCCACAUAUCCCCAAUAUCCCCUAUACCCCCACCCCAAUACCACAUGCAUAGGGGGCUUUGGGGAUAGCUCUCUGUGGGGAGAGGACACAGGCAGAUUCCAGAGAAAGACACCCUCCUUCUGCCAACUCCCCAUAUCCCGCACUGCACAGACAUCCCUCUAUGCCACCUCCCACCCCCAGUGCCAUGUGGUGUUCCAGGGGAUGGCUGGGGGUAGCUCACUGCAGGGGGAGAUCACUCCCACAGCACCACAUCCAUCUUCCUCCAACAACUCCCCCGACACGAAGACUCUCCAUCCUCCACCUCCAAAUGCCCAUAGUGCUUGGCAGGGCAGGGUGAGAAGAGACACCCCUUUUUCCCACCCCCAUAACAUAGGGAAACCCCAGUUACCCCAAAUACCCCCAAUACCUACGCUACUCCGGGAGAUGGCGUACCUCACUGAAGGGGGAGGGGUGUGGGGGAAUAUACUCCCACCUUUCCCCCAUUGCCAAC